rnacentral:rRNA from 1 species
GGGAUCCAGGGUAAGGGAAAUACCNCGCCUGGANCUUAAAGGCAUUUCAAUUAAGGCNGGAAGGGAAAAAAGAAANCCCAACAGGGGAUUUACCCCUANGUAAACGGGCGANGUGAAAGCGGUAACAGGCUUCAAAAUUUGNNAUUCUGGGCCNUUUACAGGGUCCGAGUUGGUAAUUUGUAAGAGGGAUGUUUUCGGGCAAAGGGCUGUGGUUUUAANUUUUCUUGGAACAGAACGUCAUAGAGGGUGAGAAUCCCCGUCUAGAACCGGUAGCCGCGUCCAUGUGAAACUCCUUCGACGAGUCGAGUUGUUUGGGAAUGCAGCUCAAAAUGGGUGGUAAAUUUCAUCUAAAGCUAAAUAUUGGCCAGAGACCGAUAGCGCACAAGUAGAGUGAUCGAAAGAUGAAAAGCACUUUGAAAAGAGAGUUAAACAGUAUGUGAAAUUGUUGAAAGGGAAGCGCUUGCAACCAGACUUGCGUGUAGCGGUUCCCCCGGUCUUUUGACCGGGCUAUUCCGUUAUAUCCAGGCCAGCAUCGGUUCGGGUGGUUGGUUAAAGGUCUUGGGAAUGUAUCUACCUUCGGGUCGACUUAUAGCUCAGGGCGUAAUGCGACCUACCUGGACCGAGGAACGCGCUUUUGC